GAAGUGCGAUAAGCAAUGCGAAUUGCAGAAUUCCGCGAAUCAUCAGAUCUUUGAACGCAAAUGGCGCCAGAGGGAUAUCCUUCCGGCAUGUCUGUUUCAGUGUCUGAGAGGUUUCACUACUAUCUUAAUGUGAUUGAUGGACUGGUGUUGGUUCACUCCUCUACCAAUAUCCAUCUCUCAUGAAAGAUGUUCGAGUGGAUCUUUGGGUCCAAUGAAGUGGUCACAUCACUCGCAUGUGAUUUCAUUGGGACAACCUAAUUAUCCGCAUGCUCGAAGUACUCUCACUAACAUUGCGCAAGCAGUGUUACACUCCACACCCUGCAUCUGAAACAGGCAAGAUCACCCGCUGAACUUAA
rnacentral:misc_RNA from 1 species